rnacentral:lncRNA from 1 species
GGUGCAUCCGAGCUCAUUUCGAUCUAUUGGUUGGAAAAUUGGAAACUCAAAAAUAUGGGUGUGAGAUCCACAUUUGGUCGAAACGACUUUGGAUGAAAAAUUCAACUUCGCCAGUAGAUUCAAAAUGUCGAUUUUAGGAUGGUAACAUGUUUGGUGUGAUUUUACGUCUUUUGAUUUUAUUUCAACCCUCGAUUUGGAAAAUUAUGAUUUCGAAUUUCGGGAGUCAACUCUGUGAAAAUCAUAACUUUUUCAAAAAUUAGACUUCGCGAACGCGUUCAAAACAUCGAAUUUAGUGUAGUUGUAUAAUUCAUUUGCAUCCAUCGAACUCCAAACGAAUUUUGGGC